UAGGGGCUCGCUGACCACAAGGACCAACUUGGAGCUCCUCUCUGCCCUUGCAGGCAUCACGACAACAAGGCCGCUGAGGCGAAGCAUGGGUUUUGGCACUACCUGUGUGUUCCCAUGCGAGAAUGUGAUCAAUGAGCAACCCUGUCAAGUUGGCCAAAUAAGCAAUCCAUGGAUGGAUUCUAGCAAUUGAUUCAUCCAUCCAUCCAUCUCUAAGGGAAGAAGCAGAAGAAUCAAAGAAGAUGGCAAUCUCUAUGAGCAGCCUGUCACUGAUAUCGGAGGGAUGAGGGCAACGCUGGCGGAGCCAAUGGGGAUCAUGUUGCCUACGGUUCCUCCUCCUAUGACACCGCAGCCGCUGCAACUUGCACAUGUGCUGGCUAAGAUCCUUCGCUAGGUAUACCAACUCAGGACUGCAAGGCAAAUCACAAUCCAUCAGACUACAACAACCCUCAUAGCAGAUGCAGCUAGCAAAGAUGAGAUCCAGGCGAGGGUUCCACAGCUAAAGAAGUAGCUCUUUGAAACUAAUUCCGUAUAUGAUUAUGAGUAGUUGGUUGAGAGAGUUGCAAUACUUUUUGGUGGUGUGGCCAUCAUCAAGGUUGGAGCGACAACCGGGCCAGAGCUUGAGGACCGGCAAAUGCGGAUCGAGGACGCAUAGAAUUCCACCUCUACGGCCAUCCAGGAGGGCAUUGUUUUCGAUAGUGGCUUGACUUAUGUGAACGUGUCUACCUAUGUCCCUAUGAUCAAAUAAACAAUCGAAGACCAUGAUGGUUGCCUUGAUGCUGACAUCAUUCUGAAGGUACCUUGAUGAUUCCAUCGCUGGUGGUGAUCAAGUAGAUACCUGAUAAGGUUCUGCCCAUCUAAGGAAGAAGUGGAGCUGCCCAAACCUCAAAGGUUAUACAUGCAACAAGGAGAAUCUAGGAAAUUGGCAACGGGUGCACAAGAUUCGCCUCCUGCCCUGCUCUUCCGGUGGCUGAUUCUUCUUCGACUCCCCCGUAGGCGUCAAGUCUCUCCUCUGCUCCCUCAUGCCUGUGUGCCCAUGGCCAUCGAGUUGUGCCAAGUUGAUUGGGAUGCCUGCAUUGAGCCACUCAUUAUGUUGAUCAGCAACAUCUAGCCUAACUAUGUGCCAGGCAAGAAGAUGCAUGUGGAGCAUUCUGUGGACAGUGGGAACUUGCUGGCCCCCACAUACCUCCUUGACCAUGGUGCUGAUAUCAGUCAGGAAGGGGAAGAAGGGGCCACUGUUCCCAGCUGCAAAAAUGUGAUGAGCAAUGUGGUUAAGCAACAACCCAACUCCAAGGUGGGGCACGCCCUAUGAUAGCGAAAUGAUGGCAAAGGUGAAUGGGUCCUGGUGAACAUCCCAUGAUUGAUGCUGCUUUGAGGAGCAUGGUGCUGUCUGGCACAAGUUUGGCCAGUGAAGCAGUUUUGCCUGCUCCGGCGAUCACUCCGACGCCUCCCGUUCCGCCCCUCCAGUGGUUGCUUCCUCUUCGGUUCCAGCAUAGCCCCUGCUACAACUUUUUGAGGUCCCUCAUCACCAACUGUCGAAGACAUAUGGUGCCCCUGGAUGCAGUUGAUCCAACCAUCCGUCUCCAAGAGGAAGACGUGGAAGAAUGAAAGAAGAUGGCGAUCUCUAUGAGCUGAUGUAGUUGAUCCAUUGAUCCAUCCACAACUAUUCAUCGAAGGAGAAGGACCUCUUCUCUUCAUCAACAUCAAGAGCAACCACGACCCAGCACUCAAACACAGGAGCAACUGGUUGGAUGCCGGAAGAAGCAAAGAUAUCACUGCUGAAGCAGCACCUUCAAAGAUCCAGAAGAGACGGCCUUAGAAGACUAUUGAUCACUGCUUUGGAAGCAGUUCCCCAAGCGCUGAACUAUCGUCGUCCUCUGCUUGCUUCUUCUCCUUCCUGCUCUGCAACAUGGACCUUGUUGGUCCUGGCGUUCACCCUUGGCGUGCAUGUAGACCUACGAAUCUCGUCGGUGCGACUUGGUGGCCGCCCUCGUGGUCUCCGGCGAUGGUUGUUGGGCGCCAUGCGUGCAAGGUUGAAGGCUUGGUUUGGUGCACGUCGCCUCUACUACGACGCCUUAACGCGGCGUUGCUUUGCGGCCUUGGCUGUUGCGACGAGUACAAAGUGGUUGGUGCAGUGGCUACGGAUAAGAUCAAAAUCCUGGGAGCACUACUUUGUCGCCACCCAGGAUUCUGAUCUCAGGGUGAAGCUACGGGAGGUAUGAAGAAUGGCCAUGCUUUUAUAUUCAACACAAGGAAGGUUUGUCUUGGUCUUGGUGUGACCAUUCAUUCAACCUGAAGAAUGACAACACAUGGAACGACCAACUGUGAGAAGUGGAAGCUUAUUUAGUUUGUGGUGGCGUUGGGUUAGCUUGUUAGCUGUGUUUGGCUUUUGUUGAGGAAAUGAUUUGGUUGGAUGAUGAUAUGGGACCUCUCAUCCAGUCCAGUGUAACGACUUGACUUGGGAGUGCAUGAAUGAAUUUUGCAACGAAGGAUGCGGUGAUUUUGAUUCUCCGCCGACGCGUUAUGCUGCUGAAAUUUCUAACGAAAAUUCGCACGACUUGUCAAAAUUUUGGCCUUGUUUGUAACCAAAGCAAAACUUUUGGGUCUUCUGCUUCAAAAUUUUGGCCUUGAUUGUAACAGAACCAAAAUUUUGGCCUUGUCAGUAAUGAAAAAGACGUUGAAGUGGCUC